UACGGAGGGUGCGAGCGUUGUCCGGAAUCAUUGGGCGUAAAGGGCGCGUAGGUGGCCCGGUCAGUUCGUGGUGAAAGCGCGGGGCUCAACCCUGCGUCGGCCAUGAAUACUGCCGCGGCUGGAGCACUGUAGAGGCAGGCGGAAUUCCGGGUGUAGCGGUGGAAUGCGUAGAGAUCCGGAAGAACACCAGUGGCGAAGGCGGCCCGCUGGGCAGUGGCUGACGCUGAGGCGGCGACAGCGUGGG
rnacentral:rRNA from 1 species